rnacentral:lncRNA from 1 species
UUCAUCUUUAUUCUGUCAAGCAUGGAAAACGAAUUAAGCAAGCUUUAUUGCAGUGCAUGUACUCACAUGAUUGCCCAAUUUUAAGUAAAACAGCUGGGUUUGUGUGCUUUGCAUGUGGUGAUCCAUCUUUAGUCUGUUGGUGGUGAUGAUCUAAGUACAUGUAGUUCCAAAAGGAUGAAUGUGCUGGAACCUAUGACAGACGGAAUGCCUUUUCCUGCUGAUAAGCCAGAAUUGUCUGCCAAUCAGAAAACAUUAGUUUGAGCAUGGGAAUUGGUGGAGGAUGUCACCACUUCAAGUCUGUUGGAGUCAUCUGUCACCCAGGAAACAUAAAAAAAACUGGCAGAGGAUUAGGCCAUAUCCAGUUUGGACAGCAUUAUUCACGGAGACAUUUAUAACGUGCUGCUAAAAGAGAAAAAAAUAUAUAUGAAAUAUAUAUGAUAUGGGAUCACUGACCACCUACAGAUCGUGGACCUGGCUGCAGGAUUGACCGAAGCCUGUAAUGGUCCAUCUGGCCAAGUUUCUAGGAUACAAUGAAGAAGCCCUGUAAGAUGAAUAUAAACCCUGCAAUGUUGCCAAAACGGUUUAGCAAACUUUUCAUUCUGCCAGAAAUUCCAGGCUUGUUUUACCUGUUGAGUUUUCGGGAAAACUUGCUUGCUUACAACAUGUCCGGGAGUAUUGUAAGCUCCUCGUUAAUUAUAAUGGGUCAGUUUCUGUAGGCGGCUGCUUUAGCUGCCUGAUUAAUAUCUUAAAGAAAGGUCCAAACGGGGUCAUCCGUGCAGUUAUUAACAAUGAACAGGUGGUCAGCAAAUGAUAUAAAGUUAGUUGGGAAAAUAAAGUGCUGGUCUCAGUGGUCACAAGCAAAAUCUACAUCGUUAUAGACAAACAUGAUCUUCAGUCUAGUAUCUCAUGUAAGCUGUCAACUUGGAUGUUUGAAGAAUCGUCCAAACAAGAAAAAGCAAACAUCUAAAAUGAAAGUACAGUUGAUGAUGAACUAUUCAGAGAGUCCCACAAUGACUUUCUUUGUUCUAGAAUUCACGCUGUCGCAGAUGAACGGAAGUCCAGCCACGAUCAUGAUUGACGACAUUUUGACGCAAAUGGAAGUAUGUGCUUAGGAAAAGUUUGCUCUGAAUGUGGCACUGACAAUGCAGCCUCUUGGAGGUACAUGUACAUGUACACUGUACUUUACCAACUGCAAAGGAAUGUUGCUGAAAAAAUCUGUCCGUUAUGGCUGAAUGCAAGAAACAGUCAAUCCAUAUGAACACCUAAACUACACUGUCAACACCAAGGAAAAUAUGUGUAGGGUAACUAUUGGAGAGUCUCAACUAUUUAACCGGAAUAGUUUUCAAAGUCUAUCCCAUGUAUUGCGGAACAUUGGCACUGAGACUGGGAUUUACCAGGGAAAAUAUGUGUAGAGUAACUAUUGGAGAGUCUCAACUGCAUGUAUUUAACCAGAAUAGCUUUCAAAGUCUAUCCCAUAUAUUGGAGAACAUUGGCACUGAGGCUGGGAUUUCAUGUCAUGAGAGAAUGGAUUUGUUAAAGAUUGCGAUGGCGGAAUAUAUAUCCCAUGAUUCUUCAACUGAUAUUCAAUGUACUUACCUUUCCAGCAUGCAAGCAGUCUUUCUACAGGGAGAACUCAUUUAAAAAUCCUGAUUGCUGCAUUUCCAAGGGCAUUGAUGCUGAAUGGGAGUUUGACUGGAUCAUACUUCUUCCCGUCCUUCUUCACUUAGAAAUGAACACAGCAAGGGCCUUCUUUGACUUGGGCUGCGAUCCCUUCCUGAAAGACAUCGUUAAAGUCUUGCCAUUCACUUCACCGUGGGCAUAAGAAAUUGCAAAGAAAGGGAGUGACUACCACAAAUCAUGGGAAAUUGUGGAAUACUUGUUGCUGUUACAGAGGAACAGCUUGUGCCGUACACAAACUCUACUAAGCACAGUGUGUUUGGCUACUGGGAAGACUUUGACCCAAACAUCAAAGACCCUAACUACUGCUUACUGCAACAAGUAGCCCUUACAUUUUUCCAUUCCCUAAUACUUUUCUGGGGUGGUAUUCGUAAGGGAAAUUCAAGAGCUAUAAUGCAUAGCGUCUUUGGAAGAAAUCACCUUGGUUAUUGUAAGAUCAUGUCCGCCAACCAGUACAUUAUGGAGAAGAUGCCCGACAAGGUGAAACAAAUGGUUCUGAACUUUUCUGUGGGCCCCUAGCAGGGUGGUGAUGCAAGCCUAGAAGAGGCAAACAAAGAGGCUAAAUCGUGGGCACCACCAGGAGUGCUGACUGACGUACAGUGGCUAUGAAUAUUUCAAAAUUUGGAGGAACUGAACAAGAUCCGCAGUGCUGCACUUUCUGAUGCCCGGACUUCAACCGAAGAUAACAAAGUCAGCAAAUGCUGAUUUAUUCCCCCGAGGAAAAUAACUGCACUCAGGGUAGCGCUAAGGCACAAAAAAUAUCUCCAGAGUCCAGAAUUUGAACGAGGCCACACCAGGCUCUCAGGAGAUGUGGUUAUGUCAGACGUGUUCUGGCAAGGGGUGCUAUGAAAUCGUAUACAUGUACAUGGAUGUCUAGCUUCAUUGGUAAUCCCUCGGACAUGUCGGAGGCCCCCAUGUCAGUAUCCAGCCUCCAUGUCAGUAUCCAGCCUCCAUGUCAGUAUCCAGCCUCCAUGUCAGUAUCCAGCCUCCAUGUCAGUAUCCAGCCUCCAUGUCAGUAUCCAGCCUCCAUGUCAGUAUCCAGCCUCCAUGUCAGUAUCCAGCCUCCAUGUCAGUAUCCAGCCCCCAUGUCAGUAUCCAGCCUCCAUGUCAGUAUCCAGCCUGUGUGCAUGACUAAAGAUGAGGAGGUCAAGAGAAAAAAACCUCAUCAAAGAACAGCAUGAACAAGUAAUCUUUGAACUGUUGGACAUACAAUGUACAGGAGUCUCCACUGUUAGAAGACACGUUUUGCAUGUGAAUUAGGGGAAUGUCCAAGUCCGAAUAUGAAGCCUUUUAUCAUCAACUGUUGGCGCAUUUGGAAUCUGAAGCUAAUGUGGACACCCACUAGCCUUAGGUGCUGGUACUGGAAAUGAUCUCUACACCGAUUUCAAGGGAAACUUCCAAUGUAGUAGCCAUCUGCGAAUCCCCUAUUAUGCCUAUGAUGACCUCCUCUGUAAUGGAGGGGUCGGCCUGUUCCAAUAGCUGUACCAGGUCUGAUGACAUCUGUAACAUAAUCACCAUUUGAUAAUCAAUGAUCUGUGGCUUUGAAAAGGGCCAAGGGUGCAGAUUUCCAGUCCGUGUCUAGCUGAAACUGUGCUCAUAAAUCUGGGCUUUGUCAUGGUGCAUCUUAUUGAUUUGAAAUCACAUAACCAUAUUGAGGCAUGAAGUGCGAUUUACCAAUAAAUAUCUUUGAGCUGUAAUGGGGAACAGGAAAAAGAUGGCUGUACCAUAAUGAAAUCAUGAAGAACAUGUAGACAUGGUAAAAGUGUCUUGUGUCUCCACCCAAAAUGGUCCCUGACCAGCUAAAUAUACCAUGUUUGUAACGCAUAAAAAAUUCUCAAAUAACUUGUUUUGAAUAAAAAUAGUGAACAGGUUUACCAUGUAUUUUUGGGUUGCUCCAUCAUAAAGCUAACUUCUAAUGUGUGGGGCACUGACAUCUAGGCAAGAGGGAGCACUUGCCCCCUCUUGAAAAAAUGGGGGAACAUUAAAAAAAGUUGGAAAAAUUUUCCCGUUCUGAAUUGCAAAAAUUAUUCUGUUAGAUUGCAGCUACAAAAAAUCCUCAGCAGUCCACCUCGUGUAUACCAAAUUAAUUUCGAAUUUUAGAGUUUUAAAUUUGGAAGUACAGGAUCGAAAAAGUGGCAAUGACACUUUUCCUUGUUGUGGAUCAGUUUCCGGAAAGAAACCACACACGCAAAAAAUCCAUUUUCAGCCAGAACCGUUGUAAAAAGCUGAUUUUCUCGUGAAAAAUUUCUUAAUUUAGAGAAAGUUAAUUUAGAAAUAAAAUUCCACUGAAUUAAAAAGUGUGUAAAUUUUUAUUUGACUUUCUCAGCUACCGGUACACAGCAAGCCAUCAACGAUACUGCCCUGGUGCGCACAGUUGACAAACCCAUUACGUCAUGUACAUGUACCGGUACAUUUCUGCAAGGUCCGUAUAGCAAGUUGAGUUGGCAGCAUAUACUGCAUGCAUGCUUUCAUGUGUGCUCCAAAACUAGGAAACAAUAUGCGUUCAAUUUUCGGCCAGUUUUAAUAGAACAGGAACUUUGAAAGUCAUUUUGGUUACAGAUGCAACAGUUUCAAUGACUGUUGAGUAUGAAAGAGUAUUUGGGAUCACACAUAGUGAGUGACAUGUAUACAUGUAUCACUCUAUAACUAUUUGUCAAUAUUUUUACCUGCUUCC